rnacentral:rRNA from 1 species
AGUACACUCUAAAUCCUUUAACAAAAAUCUAUUGGAGGGCAAGUCUGGUGCCAGCAGCCGCGGUAAUUCCAGCUCCAAUAGCGUAUAUUAAAGUUGUUGCGGUUAAAAAGCUCGUAGUUGGUUCUGCGUCCCGCGCUGUCGGUACACCGUUUGUCGGUGACACUGGCAUGACGCGGGAUGUCCUGUCGGUGGCGGCGGAGACCAUAUCGUCGUCGGAUAACACCGCGGCGUGUUGGCCUUCUGUCGCCGGCUAUAUCCUACCGCGGUGCUCUUCACUGAGUGUCGAGGUAGGCCGACACGUUUACUUUGAACAAAUUAGAGUGCUUAAAGCAGGCAAAAAUCUCUGCCAGAAUAGUGGUGCAUGGAAUAAUGGAACAGGACCUUGGUUCUAUUCUGUUGGUCUCCGGAACACAAGGUAAUGAUCAAUGUGGACAGGCGGGGGCAUUCGUAUUGCGGCGUUAGAGGUGAAAUUCUUGGAUCGUCGCAAGACGCACUAGAGCGAAAGCAAUUGCCAAGUAUGUCUUAAUUGAUCAAGAACGAAAGUUAGAGGUUCGAAGGCGAUCAGAUACCGCCCUAGUUCUAACCAUAAACGAUGCCAGCCAGCGAUCCGCCGAUGUUCCUUUGAUGACUCGGCGGGGAGCUUUCCCCGGGAAACCAAAGCUUUUGGGUUCCGGGGGAAGUAUGGUUGCAAAGCUGAAACUUAAAGGAAUUGACGGAAGGGCACCACCAGAAGUGGAGCCUGCGGCUUAAUUUGACUCAACACGGGAAACCUCACCAGGUCAGGACAUUGGAAUGAUUGACAGAUUGAUAGCUCU